ACGGGUGAGUAACACGUGACUAACCUACCCUGGAGUGGGGGAUAACUGAGGGAAACCUUAGCUAAUACCGCAUAACACCUACGGGUCAAAGGAGCAAUUCGCUUCAGGAGGGGGUCGCGGCCGAUUAGUUAGUUGGCGGGGUAAUGGCCCACCAAGACGAUGAUCGGUAUCCGGCCUGAGAGGGCGCACGGACACACUGGAACUGAAACACGGUCCAGACUCCUACGGGAGGCAGCAGUGGGGAAUUUUGCGCAAUGGGGGAAACCCUGACGCAGCAACGCCGCGUGGAGGAUGAAGUACUUCGGUACGUAAACUCCUUUCGAUCGGGACGAUAAUGACGGUACCGAGAGAAGAAGCCCCGGCUAACUUCGUGCCAGCAGCCGCGGUAAUACGAGGGGGGCGAGCGUUGUUCGGAAUUAUUGGGCGUAAAGGGUGCGUAGGCGGUUUGGCAAGUUUCGUGUGAAAUCUCCGGGCUCAACUCGGAGCCUGCACGAAAAACUGCCGGGCUUGAGUAUGGGAGAGGUGAGUGGAAUUCCUGGUGUAGCGGUGAAAUGCGUAGAUAUCAGGAGGAACACCUGUGGCGAAAGCGGCUCACUGGACCAUAACUGACGCUGAAGCACGAAAGCUAGGGGAGCAAACAGGAUUAGAUACCCUGGUAGUCCUAGCCCUAAACGAUGACUGCUUGGUGUGACGGGUACCCAAUCCCGCCGUGCCGUAGCUAACGCGUUAAGCAGUCCGCC
rnacentral:rRNA from 1 species